rnacentral:rRNA from 1 species
AACGAACGCUGGCGGCAGGCUUAACACAUGCAAGUCGAGCGCCUCGCAAGGGGAGCGGCAGACGGGUGAGUAACGCGUGGGAAUCUACCCAUCUCUACGGAAUAACGCAUGGAAACGUGUGCUAAUACCGUAUACGUCCUUCGGGAGAAAGAUUUACCGGAGAUGGAUGAGCACGCGUUGGAUGAGAUAGUUGGUGGGGGAAAGGCCUACCAAGGCUACGAUCCAUAGAUGGUCUGAGAGGAUGAUCAGCCACACUGGGACUGAGACACGGCCCAGAGUCCUACGGGAGGCAGCAGUGGGGAAUAUUGGACAAUGGGCGCAAGCCUGAGCCAGCCAUGCCGCGUGAGUGAUGAAGGCCCUAGGGUUGUAAAGCUCUUUGACCGGUGAAGAUAAUGACGGUAACCGGAGAAGAAGCCGCGGCUAACUUCGUGCCAGCCGCCGCAGUAAUAC